AAAUGAACCUCCUUGUUUGUUGUUGUUUCCUCUAUUACUACUUUUGCUGCUUCUUCAUUUCGUUGAGCUGCCUUCCAUGUUUUGCGAAGCAACGACACAUUCGUUCAAAGUCAGAAGGCAAGUUUGGAUCUUCGGGUCGUUAAAAUAGAUGAUAGAAAAGAAAAAACGAUAAACAUAAAAAUUAU
rnacentral:ribozyme from 13 species